rnacentral:rRNA from 1 species
UGCAAGUCGUACGCGGUUACCUACGCAAGGGGUAACUGAGUGGCGAACGGGUGAGUAACACGUGGGUGACCUACCUUCGAGUGGGGGAUAACGUCCCGAAAGGGACGCUAAUACCGCAUAACAUCCUGCCUUUGAACAGGUGGAGAUCAAAGCCGGGGAUCGCAAGACCUGGCGCUUGAUGAGGGGCCCGCGCCUGAUUAGCUAGUUGGUGGGGUAAUGGCUCACCAAGGCGACGAUCAGUAUCCGGCCUGAGAGGGCGGACGGACACACUGGGACUGAGACACGGCCCAGACUCCUACGGGAGGCAGCAGUGGGGAAUUGUUCGCAAUGGGCGCAAGCCUGACGACGCAACGCCGCGUGGAGGAUGAAGGUCUUCGGAUUGUAAACUCCUGUUGCUCGGGACGAAAAGCUUCGACCUAACACGUCGAAGUCUGACGGUACCGAGUGAGGAAGCCCCGGCUAACUCUGUGCCAGCAGCCGCGGUAAUACAGAGGGGGCAAGCGUUGUUCGGAAUUACUGGGCGUAAAGGGCGCGUAGGCGGCCUGCUAAGUCGAACGUGAAAUCCCUAGGCUCAACCCAGGAACUGCGUCCGAUACUGGUUGGCUUGAAUCCGGGAGAGGGAUGUGGAAUUCCAGGUGUAGCGGUGAAAUGCGUAGAUAUCUGGAGGAACACCGGUGGCGAAGGCGACAUCCUGGACCGGUAUUGACGCUGAGGCGCGAAAGCCAGGGGAGCAAACGGGAUUAGAUACCCCGGUAGUCCUGGCCCUAAACGAUGAAUGCUUGGUGUGGCGGGUAUCGAUCCCUGCCGUGCCGAAGCUAACGCAUUAAGCAUUCCGCCUGGGGAGUACGGUCGCAAGGCUG